rnacentral:rRNA from 1 species
AUUGAACGCUGGCGGCAUGCCUUACACAUGCAAGUCGAACGGCAGCAUGAUCUAGCUUGCUAGAUUGAUGGUGAGUGGCGAACGGGUGAGUAAUACAUCGGAACGUGCCCUGUAGUGGGGGAUAGCUAGUCGAAAGAUUAGUUAAUACCGCAUACGACCUGAGGGUGAAAGUGGGGGACCGCAAGGCCUCAUGCUAUAGGAGCGGCCGAUGUCUGAUUAGGUAGUUGGUGAGGUAAAGGCUCACCAAGGCGACGAUCAGUAGCUGGUCUGAGAGGACGAUCAGCCACACUGGGACUGAGACACGGCCCAGACUCCUACGGGAGGCAGCAGUGGGGAAUUUUGGACAAUGGGGGCAACCCUGAUCCAGCAAUGCCGCGUGUGUGAAGAAGGCCUUCGGGUUGUAAAGCACUUUUGUCCGGAAAGAAAUCGCACUUACUAAUAUUAGGUGUGGAUGACGGUACCGGAAGAAUAAGGACCGGCUAACUACGUGCCAGCCGCCGCGGUAAGAC